rnacentral:tRNA from 1 species
GGUUGUGGUUCAGUGGUAGAGCACUCACCAAGCACAUGUGAGGUCCUGGGUUCGACACUCAGCACCA